GCCGCUCUGGGCCGCAGCCCGGGCCCUGACUGCAUUUCCGCCGGCGCCCGAGCGAUGAAGGGUGGGUCCUGCAUCCGAGGCAUCCCCGAUCCAUCCAGCAUCUUCUCGCGCAGUCUUCUUCGACCCGCUGCCACAGUCCCGGCGCCCCAGGCCCUGCGCAGAUGAAGACCCUCCCUCGGACGGCUUUGCGGGCCCUGCCUCAGCCGGCGCCCCCUUCUCUCCUGCAGGACCCGGACCCCCACUGCAGGGGCUGAGUGCCCCCUGGUCGGCGUCUGAGUCUUGCCUCCCCGUAGGCUCAGUACCUGGCACGUGUCCAAGGCUCAGCAGCUGUACCACAACCACCCAACAGGAGAGAAGGAAAGGAGAGGUGCACCCCGGGGAUGUGGUGAGGCCAUCCCGUCAUGGGGAAUCAGAAAAGGACUGCGUCUUAGCCAGCCAGCUGGGGGAAGAGGAGGCAGCACCGGGCAGAGGGGCCCUUGAGAGAUGUCACCAUCCUGUUAAGAAAGGGCUGGACCACAGCGCUGCAGAGAUGAGUCCACGGUGUGCAGAGGCCGUCGUGGAAGUUGUCGUGUCAGCAGCGCUGUAGACCGCAGUGUCCUUGAGUGUUCAUUCUGACUCUUCUCUGGGAGCAUUGAGAUUCCUUUUUGAGCCAAGAUUGGUGUGGAAAAAAACACUGCAGCUCAUCUCUGACUAAUUGGGGACGCUUUCAUGGAUGUCACCUUAAAGAAAGAUGAGGGGUGCUGCUUUGGAAGAAGCCUCGGGGGUCAGAACCACUCGCCCUCUCAAGGUGAGGACCUGGGUCCCAGCUCCCCCGGAGGGUCCUCCUCAUGGUAUUUAGGGGCUGACCGCGGACACUGGCGUAGCAGCGUGAAGCAGGAUGUUGUCGCAUGACCAUCGCCAAACCUUUCUCUUCUGUUGCCUCAGCACAGCGUGGAAGGACUCUGCCCUCUGUGUGAACAGGGCAGAGGGGAAGUUCUGGGGCUCCAGGGACUUGGGGUUCAGAGCUGGAGACCUUCUACUGGCUCCCAGCAGGUGCCUCAGAACACUGCUGACCAGGAAGACUGUCUCUUCCCAUCUGGACCAGGUCAUCCCGUGGCUUCUGUGUCUCCCAUUUGCUCCUAGUAUAACUUUUUAGAACCAGGAGUUCCUGUUGGAGUCUUGUGUGCCGUGCAUCUUAUCUUCUCACCCACUUAAAUAAAUCUCGAAACUGCC
rnacentral:lncRNA from 1 species